UCUUCAGUGAGGUACAUCCUUACCUCUUACUCCCAAUAAGGGGUUUCAGAACAUGAUGAAUGGAAAACAAUGAGAUUAAUAUCUCCAUUUUAGAGGGAAAUGCAAUACCUUCUAAGACAGUGGU